GCAGACACAUUCCAGCCAAUCAGCAGCAGACCCUCCCUCCCAGACCCUCCCACCUCCUGGACAGCAUCCAUUUUACAUUCAUUGUGGAGCUGCAUUCUUAGUGAGCUGUCCAGGAGGUGGGAGGGUCUGGGAGGGAGGGUCUGCUGCUGAUUGGCUGGAAUGUGUCUG
rnacentral:miRNA from 1 species